rnacentral:rRNA from 1 species
AAUUUUGCACAAUGGGCGAAAGCCUGAUGCAGCAACGCCGCGUGUGUGAUGAAGGUCUUCGGAUCGUAAAGCACUUGCGACCGGGACGAAAACCCGUUGGCUAACAUCCAACGGUUAGACUGUACCGGGAGAAGAAGCACCGGCUAACUCUGUGCCAGCAGCCGCGGUAAUACAGAGGGUGCAAGCGUUGUUCGGAAUUAUUGGGCGUAAAGAGCUCGUAGGCGGUUUGGUAAGUCGGGUGUGAAAGCUCCGGGCUCAACUCGGAGAGGUCACUCGAUACUGGCAUGACUGGAGUCCGGUAGGGGGGUGUGGAAUUCCCAGUGUAGCGGUGAAAUGCGCAGAUAUUGGGAGGAACACCAAUGGCGAAGGCAGCACCCUGGGCCGGUACUGACGCUGAGGAGCGAAAGCGUGGGGAGCAAAC